AGGCUUGUAGCUCAGAUUGGUUAGAGCACACCCCUGAUAAGGGUGAGGUCGGUGGUUCAAGUCCACUCAAGCCUA
rfam:Blochmannia endosymbiont of Camponotus (Colobopsis) obliquus strain 757, complete genome.